rnacentral:rRNA from 1 species
AACGCUAGCUACAGGCUUAACACAUGCAAGUCGAGGGGCAGCAUGAAACUUAACUUGCUAAGUUUUGAUGGCGACCGGCGCACGGGUGAGUAACACGUAUCCAACCUACCGUUUACUACGGGAUAGCCUUCUGAAAAGGAGAUUAAUACCGUAUAGUAUUCUAAAGUUUCAUGACAUUAGAAUUAAAGGUUUACCGGUAAUCGAUGGGGAUGCGUUCCAUUAGAUAGUAGGCGGGGUAACGGCCCACCUAGUCAGCGAUGGAUAGGGGUUCUGAGAGGAAGGUCCCCCACAUUGGAACUGAGACACGGUCCAAACUCCUACGGGAGGCAGCAGUGAGGAAUAUUGGUCAAUGGACGAGAGUCUGAACCAGCCAAGUAGCGUGAAGGAUGACUGCCCUAUGGGUUGUAAACUUCUUUUAUAAGGGAAUAAAGUCAGGUACGUGUACCUGUUUGUAUGUACCUUAUGAAUAAGCAUCGGCUAACUCCGUGCCAGCAGCCGCGGUAAUACGGAGGAUGCGAGCGUUAUCCGGAUUUAUUGGGUUUAAAGGGAGCGUAGGCGGGUUUUUUAAGUCAGUUGUGAAAGUUUGCGGCUCAACCGUAAAAUUGCAGUUGGUACUGGAAGCCUUGAGUGCGGCAGAGGCAGGCGGAAUUCGUGGUGUAGCGGUGAAAUGCUUAGAUAUCACGAAGAACUCCGAUUG